CACGUAGGGGGCGAGCGUUGUCCGGAUUUAUUGGGCGUAAAGAGCUCGUAGGUGGUUCAGUAAGUCGAGUGUGAAACCUCCAGGCUCAACCUGGAGACGCCACCCGAUACUGCUGUGACUAGAGUCCAGUAGGGGAGCACGGAAUUCCUGGUGUAGCGGUGAAAUGCGCAGAUAUCAGGAGGAACACCGGUGGCGAAGGCGGAUCUCUGGGCCGAUACUGACGCUGAGGAGCGAAAGCGUGGGGAGCGAACAGG
rnacentral:rRNA from 1 species